rnacentral:rRNA from 1 species
CCUACGGGUGGCAGCAGUGGGGGAUAUUGCACAAUGGGGGCAACCCUGAUGCAGCGACGCCGCGUGAGCGAUGGAGUACUUCGGUAUGUAAAGCUCUGUCAGCAGGGAAGAGAAUGAGGGUACCUGACCAAGAAGCCCCGGCUACAUACGUGCCAGCAGCCGCGGGAAUACGUAAGGGGCAAGCGUUAUCCGGAUUUACUGGGUGUAAAGGGCGCGUAGGCGGCGGGGCAAGCCUGAUGUGAAAGCCCGGGGCUCAACCCCGGGACUGCAUUGGGAACUGCCCCGCUUGGGUGGCGGAGGGGGAAGCGGGAAUGCUAGGGUAGCGGUGGAAUGCGUGGAUAUUAAGAGGGACACCAGUGGCGAAGG